GUGGGUUUUUUUAUUAAUUUUUAUAUGGUUUUCAAUCGAUUAAUGAUUUCCACUUCUGACUUUAAAGGGAACAUUUAGUGACUAAGUGAAGGUGGAUUCGUGUGCUACAUUAACUUUAAUGAUCACGAACUCAGAUAUUCUUUGGUUCAUUGUAGGUCAAUAGAUUAUUUUAACAUUGUAAUAUAUUUUAUUCAUGGUGAACAUCUUUCAUAACAUUGUAAUAGAUUUUAUUC
rnacentral:lncRNA from 1 species